rnacentral:rRNA from 1 species
UACGUAGGGUGCGAGCGUUGUCCGGAAUUAUUGGGCGUAAAGGGCUCGUAGGCGGUUUGUCGCGUCGGGAGUGAAAUCCAGGGCUUAACUCUGGACUGGCUUCCGAUACGGGCAGACUAGAGGUAUGCAGGGGAGAACGGAAUUCCUGGUGUAGCGGUGAAAUGCGCAGAUAUCAAGGAGGAACACCGGUGGCGAAGGCGGUUCUCUGGGCAUUACCUGACGCUGAGGAGCGAAAGUGUGGGGAGCGAACAGG